rnacentral:rRNA from 1 species
UACGUAGGUCCCGAGCGUUGUCCGGAUUUAUUGGGCGUAAAGCGAGCGCAGGCGGUUUAUUAAGUCUGGUGUAAAAGGCAGUGGCUCAACCAUUGUAUGCAUUGGAAACUGGUAGACUUGAGUGCAGGAGAGGAGAGUGGAAUUCCAUGUGUUGCGGUGAAAUGCGUAGAUAUAUGGAGGAACACCGGUGGCGAAAGCGGCUCUCUGGCCUGUAACUGACACUGAGGCUCGAAAGCGUGGGGAGCAAACAGG